rnacentral:rRNA from 1 species
UACGAAGGGUGCAAGCGUUAAUCGGAAUUACUGGGCGUAAAGCGUGUGUAGGCGGUUUCUUAAGUCUGCUGUGAAAUCCCCGGGCUCAACCUGGGAAUGGCAGUGGAUACUGGGAAGCUAGAGUGUGAUAGAGGAUGGUGGAAUUCCCGGUGUAAGCUGGUGAAAUGCGUAGAGAUCGGGAGGAACAUCAGUGGCGAAGG